UACGAAGGUGGCAAGCGUUACUCGGAAUUACUAGGCGUAAAGGGCAGGUAGGUGGUCUGGUAAGUCUGUUGUGAAAGCUCCUUGCUUAACGGGGAGAGGUCAACAGAUACUGCCAGGCUUGAGUCUAGGAGAGGGUACUGGAAUUCCCGGUGUAGCGGUGAAAUGCGCAGAGAUCGGGAGGAACACCAAUGGCGAAAGCAGGUACCUGGACUAGUACUGACACUCAGCUGCGAAAGCUAGGGGAGCAAACAGG
rnacentral:rRNA from 1 species